GCCUGGCUGGCUCAGUCAGUGGAGCAUGGGACUCUUGAUCUCAGGGUCGUGAGUUCAAGCCCCAUGCUGGGCA
rnacentral:tRNA from 1 species